UGGUUAGUCCGCAACGAGCGCAACCCUCGACCUUAGUUGCCAGCAUUCAGUUGGGCACUCUAACGGUGACUGCCGGCUAAAAAGUCGGAGGAAGGUGGGGGAUGACGUCAAAUCAUCAUGCCCCUUAUGACCUGGGCUACACACGUGCUACAAUGGGCGGUACAAAGGGUCGCGAACCCGCGAGGGGGGAGGCCAAUCCCAAAAAGCCGCUCUCAGUUCGGAUUGCAGGCUGCAACUCGCCUGCAUGAAGCCGGAAUCGCUAGUAAUCGCGGAUCAGCAUGCCGCGGUGAAUACGUUCCCGGGCCUU
rnacentral:rRNA from 1 species